GUAUUAUUUGUAUUUCUUUCCUUUUAUUCUUUAUAUUAUUGAUGUCAUGUAUUUUAUUAUACAUAUGUUAUAGGUAUUAUAAUUCAUUGUUAUUAUUUUUGUUUAAAUAGUAAAUUAUCUUUUGUAUUUUUUUUUUUUUUUAAUUUUGAGACAGAGUCUUGCUGUGUUGCCUAGGCUGGGGUACAGUGACAUGAUCUCAGCUCACCACACACCUGGCCUCCCAGGUUCAGGUGAUUCUUAUGCCUCAGCCUCUCAAGUAGCUGGGAUUAUAGACAACCACAGAUGACAUUUAUGAGAAAUGAACUGCACUGAAUUCAACUGAGAAAGUAGAAGAUUCUGUAUCUCCAUUAACUUGUGAGAGGCUCAUCAUUCCAAACCUUCUCCAGACAGCCCAGUGAU
rnacentral:lncRNA from 1 species